rnacentral:rRNA from 1 species
CAGGCGCGAAAACUUUACAAUGCAGGCAACUGCGAUAGGGGAACAUCGAGUGGCACCCACCAUGGGUGUCUGUCCAAUCGUCUAAAAAACGAUUGUUAGCAAGGGCCGGGUAAGACCGGUGCCAGCCGCCGCGGUAAUACCGGCGGCUCGAGUGGUGGCCGAUAUUAUUGAGUCUAAAGGGUCCGUAGCCGGCUUUGCAAGUCCCCUGGGAAAUCCAGCGGCUUAACCGUUGGGCUUUCAUGGGAAACUACAUUGCUUGGGACUGGGAGAGGUAGGAGGUACUCAGGGGGUAGGGGUGAAAUCCUGUAAUCCUUUGGGGACCACCGGUGGCGAAGGCGUCCUACCAGAACAGGUCCGACGGUGAGGGACGAAAGCUAGGGGCACGAACCGGAUUANAUACCCGGGUAGUCCUAGCCGUAAACGAUGCUCGCUAGGUGUCACGGCAGUCGUGAAUUGUCCGUGGUGCCGUANGGAAGCC